GCGGGUGAAAGCUCACUUUGUAGCAAUACACCGCCAGUAAGGUGCUGCAUGGCUGUCGUCAGCUCGUGCCGUGAGGUGUUGGGUUAAGUCCCGCAACGAGCGCAACCCCCAUCACUAGUUGCCAUCAGGUAACGCUGGGAACUCUAGUGAAACUGCCGUCGUAAGACGCGAGGAAGGAGGGGAUGAUGUCAAGUCAUCAUGGCCUUUAUGCCCAGGGCUACACACGUGCUACAAUGGGGCGUACAAAGGGCUGCCACUUAGCGAUAAGGAGCCAAUCCCAAAAAACGCCUCUCAGUUCAGAUUGGAGUCUGCAACUCGACUCCAUGAAGCUGGAAUCGCUAGUAAUCGUAUAUCAGCAAUGAUACGGUGAAUACGUUCCCGGACCUUGCACACACCGCCCGUCAAGCCAUGGAAGCUGGGUGUACCUAAAGUCGGUAACCGCAAGGAGCCGCCUAGGGUAAAACUAGUA
rnacentral:rRNA from 1 species